rnacentral:rRNA from 1 species
UACGUAGGGUGCAAGCGUUGUCCGGAAUUAUUGGGCGUAAAGAGCUCGUAGGCGGUCUGUCGCGUCUGCUGUGAAACUCGGGGCUUAACCCCGGGCCUGCAGUGGGUACGGGCAGACUAGAGUGCGGUAGGGGAGACUGGAAUUCCUGGUGUAGCGGUGAAAUGCGCAGAUAUCAGGAGGAACACCGGUGGCGAAGGCGGGUCUCUGGGCCGUAACUGACGCUGAGACGCGAAAGCGUGGGGAGCGAACAGG